rnacentral:antisense_RNA from 1 species
CUUGACGGAGCCCACCCACAACGGCCGGUCCUCGGCCCGCCCCUGCCCGUACGCGGUGAGCAGCGCCUGUGCCUC